rnacentral:rRNA from 1 species
CCCUUAGAUGUCCUGGGCCGCACGCGUGCUACACUGACGCCUACAGCGAGUACUUCCCAGCCCCGAGAGGUGGCUGGUAAUCAGCAAUAGGCGUCGUGAUGGGGAUAGAUCUUUGGAAUUAUGGAUCUUGAACGAGGAAUGCCUAGUAAGCGCAGGUCAUUAGCCUGCGCUGAUUAAGUCCCUGCCCUUUGUACACACCGCCCGUCGCUCCUACCGAUUUCGAGUGGUCCGGUGAAUCUUUCGGACUGCGUGCGGCCUCGUGCCGUGUCGCGGAAAGUCAGGUAAACCUUAUCACUUAGAGGAAGGAGAAGUCGUAACA